rnacentral:lncRNA from 1 species
CCGUGUUUGGUGCCGGUGGAGCCGAGGCGGGCUGCUAUGGAGAGGAGUUCCACCGGGGUGUCGCUCAGCGGAGGUGGGCUGGUGCAGCGGAGGCUGGCCGGCGCGGCAGAGGCGGGGGCUCGCCACGGAUGCUUCCACCUCGCUGCAGUCGUCGUCCUGCUUCCUGGGUCUCCUCCGAGCUCGCCAUCAUCGCCCAAGGUGAGCGGCGCUUUACGUACCACCCUUAUGUAGAUAGAAGAACUUCUCCACCGACGACGGCUCAAUUUCUGCCUCGUUAAUCUCUGGCAAAUCACUGACGGAUAGAAGCAGCGGUGGUGGAGUUGAGUCCAGUUAGUAGCACUAGCGCUAGUUCCUUCCAUGAUCCUGUAGGCCGAGAGGUGUGUCUCUGGUGAAGCUGGAAUUGCAGAAGCUUUUCACAUGAGUUAGCCUGAAUGUGUUAGUUCGUCAUGUUUGUUCUGAAGCAGCCGCUGUUGUAGUUCAGGUAUAUACAAUCUUUGUUCAGUUGUAGCUGAAGAAGAAGAGAGGGUUAGUAAUUAGGAGCAGUACUCAGUACUUUAUAGAACUUUGUUGUGAAGGAAAUGAAUCAACAAUAUCUGCGUGUGCUCCAGUUCAAUCGUCCACAACACAUUUACUAUAGUUCGUUAUCAAAUGAACACUAACUAGUAGUAGUACAAUACAGAGUUGGGUCUUUGCGAGUCUGAUUGCUAGGUUGUCAUGUGAGCUCUCGGGGCUGGAGAUUUGGUGGCUGUCAUGUUGUCCGACGAUGCUAGUAUGAUUCAGGUACUCGCGCCCGUAGCUCAAAUGUCACUCAAUUUUGCCAUGUCACUUGCACAUUUUUGUACUCAGUUUUGUUUCAUUUUUUAGUUCAAUCUUCUCAAUGUUGCCAUGCAAUGUCCCAACGAUAACAACCGAUAAUUGCUAUGAGUAGUUGCCAUGGCAACAUUAUGGAGUAGUUUCCAUGGGCAUAAUUGCUACGAGUAGUUGCAACGGCGAAUUUCUAUAGUAGUUGCCAUGGCAACAUUCUGCAGUAAUUGUCAUGGCAAGUUUCUGUAAUAGCCGCCAUGGGCAGAAUUUCUACGAGUAGUUGCCAUGGCAAAAUUUUCUGUAGUAGUUGCCAUGGGCAGUAUCCAUACAAGUAGUUGCUACGGCAAAUUUGUUUGGGACAAUGGCAAACUUUUUUAUCCUGGCAAAAAUGGGUAGUGAAUUUUCCAUGGCAAAUUCACUUGAUGUCCCAUGGCAAAUUCACUUUAUUGUCCAUGACAAGUUUCUUUUUUUAAGAUCAUGUUAAACUUUUUUUACAAACCAUGACAUUUUUCUGACAAACCAUGGCAAAUCUAUUUAAAUGGAAUAGAUUUUUCAUACUACAUGGCACUUUUUUACCCGGAACAUGGCAAUUCCUUUUUACGAAGCAUGGCAAAUUUAGUUAAAUGGAUUUUUUCCCUAUUGAGUACAAAAUUGCCAUAGCACAUGCCAUUGAUUUGCCGUACUACAUGGCAAUUUUCUCCCCUCCACCUUCGCAAGUUUAUUUUACGAACCAUGGAAAAAAUUAGAUAACUGAAAUAGAUUUUUCCAUAAUACAUGGCAAAAAAAUCCCGCUGACCAUGGCAAUUAUAUUUCAUGAAGUAUGGCAAAUUCAGUAAAAUUGAAUAGAUUUGCCAUAUUACAUGGCAUUUUUUUCCAUCCACCAUGGCAAUUUUAUUUCUAAGAACCAUGGCAAAUUCAGUUAUUUGAAACAGAUUUGCCAUACAACAUCGCAUUUUUCCCCUAGCCAUGGCAAUUCUAUUUUUUAUACGAAGCACGCCAAAUUUAGUAAAAUGGAGUAGAUUUGUCAUACUUGAUGGCAUUUUUCCCCAAAUCAUGGCAACUAUUUUUGUUCCAAACCAUGGGAAAUUUAUUUAUAUGGAUCAUGGCAAUUUUUUCUGCUGUUGUUGCUAUGGGAAAAAUUCCUACAUAUAGUUGCCAUGGUAAAUACCGCUAAAACAAAGUUGCCAUGGCAAAUUUGUUUGUGACAAUGGCAAACUUUUUUUUACCACGGCAAAAACGUUUAGUGAAUUUUGUCGUGGCAAAUUCACUUGAUGUCCCAUGGUAAAUUCACUUUCUUGCCCAUGGCAAGUUUCUUUUUUUUAAGAGAAUGUCAAACUUUUUAAAAAAAUUUGCCAUACUACAAGACACUUUUUUCUCUGGAACAUGGCAAUUCUAUUUUUUGCGAAGCAUGGAAAAUUUAGUUAAAUGCAUUGUUUUUGUUGAGUACAAAAUUUUCAUAGCAUAUGCAAUUGAUUUGCCAUACUGCAUGGCAAUUUUUUUCCCUGGCCCUGGCAAUUCUAUUUUAUGAAGUAAGGAAAAUUUAGUAAAAUGGAAUAGAUUUGCCAUACUACAUGGCACUUUUUGAUAUUAAUCUGCCAUAGUAAUUUCCUUGUUCAUACAAAACACGACAAUUUUAAUAAAAACACCAUGGCAAUUUUUCAUGUGAAUCUACCUCGCAAUUUUUCUUCAUAUUUAAUUUUCUACUUUGUUUUCACACACCGCAAAUUCCUCAUACAAAAACAUGGAAAUUUUAAUUAAAACACCAUUGCAAAUUUUUAUAUGAAUCUGCCACGGUAAUUUUAUUGUUUAUACUUCAUUUUAACCUUUUUGUAUUUUUUUCACACAGGGCAAAUUCCUGAUACAAAUAACACGGCAAUUUUAACUAAAACACCAUGGCAAAUUUUCACAUGAAUCUACCAUGGCAAUUUCACUCGUAAUUCUUUGUGUUACCUUUACAUACAUGGAAAAUUUCUCAUAAUAAACACGACAAUUUGUAAAUUGUAAUUAAAAUAUAAUGAUGUUUUUUUAUUUGAACCAUGGCAAUUUCAUUUCGUAGUAUUGUGUUCUUUUACAUGGCGGCAAAUUUCAUAUACAAACAUGUGGAUUUUAAUCAAAAUAUCAUGGCAUUUUUUCUAAUACGAAUCUGAUGGCAUUUUUUUGUUCGUAAAUUUUGUGCUACUUUGCAUACAACGGACAAUUUCUCAUAAAACAUGGUUUUUUAAUUCAAACAUGACGACAAUUUUUUAUGACCAUGGCAAGUUUAUUUUUAUAGUUUUGUCUUUUUUGUACCUAGAUGGCAAAUUUUCGCAUACGAACAUGGAGAUCUUAAUUGAAAUAUAGGGUCAAGUUUUUAAUAUAAAUCUGCCAUGGCAAUUUUUAACUUCACUUUUUGUUUUGUAGUGUUUCUCUGUGUAUUUUAACCAACACUUUCUGUUUUUCGUAUUUAUUUCUCAAGGAAAUGUGGUUGUUGGGCUUUUGAGUGCUCGUGGCCCACUAGAGGGGGUCCAAUGUAGGAGGUGUUCGCGCUGGGGCAUGGUUCUGAUCGAACAGAAACGUUUGCUCGAUGAUGCUGUUUCGUUCGGUCGGGGUGUCCUCAGUGCCACACGUGUGGCAGUUUUAAUGUGCGCCCACACAGGAUUGUAUGGGCAGCCUCCUGCUUACACCACACAUAGUGUGUGGGCGGGUGUUGCUCCCACCACACGUAUGGCACUUAUCGGCGUCCUAGAUUUUUCUAGACAAUGAUGGAGGUAACAAGAGUACUGCCUUAGAUUUGAACAAAUCCAGGAGGUAUUUGCGUGGAGAAUUUUAUAGAACUUGAUGGCAUCCAUGGUUAAAUUGAACUUUGAUGCCAAUAAGAGCAAGUCUUUUCUUUUUUUGCGGGUGACCAAUAAGAACAACUCCAUCUGGAGUUCACCAUGGACGCCUAACAUAAUUGAAAAAAAUAUGCAUCUUGCUUUUUCAAGUGCAUGAUGAGAAGAAGUGUUCAACUGAUGUAGCUCCGGUCUUGGAAGUGAUGUAUCUUAGGAUAAACAUUAAGGAAACAAGGGUCAUAAAAAAAUCAUCCAUGAUUUGUAUUUGGUCAAUAUAAAAAUCAGGAAACAAGAGCAAAUCCAUUAUUUGCAUGGGGCUGCAGCCUACAAGGACGUCGGUUUCGCAAAGCACACAACAAAGAGGUGGUAGCGCAGUUGGCUAGCAUCGAUAGAAAACGCUCCUGAGGUUGAGAGUUCGAGCCACACAUCCCCCAAAGGCCAUCGUAGUGAUGAAACGCUCAGUGGCAACUUGGGUCGCCAAAUAUACGCCUGAAUCAUCAGGAGAAAUUGAGCAAGUCUGAACCUGGUCUCCUUUUUUUUCUUUUCCUUUUUGUUUUGAGAUAAAGGUAGUUGGUAGCUCCACUCUGAACUGGACCGGGGGAGGUCUGAAUUAACAGAACUACACUUCAGCUCUAUGAUUCAUCCAUGUUUUUUCAGUUGCCGAUGCUCAUUCAUGGCUCUUUCUGUAAGGACAUUGAACGCCUUUCAGGUUUCCCCGGUGAGCUACUACUGCACUGUCUCACUAUGCAAUCCUACAAAAGUGCAGAAUUAUGCUCCGAAUUAUAUGUUCUCUGACGGGUUGGCAACUGACGGCGGAUGAUUUUCACACCUGUAUGUAGUUACUUAUUAGCAGAUAUUUGCUGCUCCUACAGGCCGGCAGUUGUAGAACUGUCUGUGUAGUCUGAUGACAGGCCAGUUGCUCAGUAAUCCAGCACUAAUUCUCCUGCACGAGAAACCAUUGCCACGUCAGCAAUCAGUCAAGUCAAACCAUUCAUGGACUGAUUUUGCUCGGUAUGGAAUUGUUUAAGGGCUGAAUGGAUAAAAAAUAAAGAUCAUGGGGUUAUGUGAACCACAACUUUCUUCAGGUAGUAAAAUUGACUUUUUUCAAUAACGAAUAACAAGUAACAGACAUGUUCUGCGUUCCAAAAAUACUACAACACACUAAGAGCAUCUCCAGCCGCGUCCCCAGAACGGCCUCCCCAGGCGCUUUUUUCGCG